UGCAGGAUAGUAUAUAUAAGCGCGAGGAGCCCGUGUCCUUUCCCUGGUGUGAUUCCGUCCUGCGCGUCUGUUCUCUGGGGCAGUAGCUAUUUGUUUCCGUCCGCGUUCUCAUCCACCUAAGUGCGUGCCACCACUCCAUGGAAGAUUCGAUGGAUAUGGACAUGAGCCCCCUGAGGCCCCAGAACUAUCUUUUCGUUACCUGAAAAUGAUGCUACAGUACAGUAUAACAACUGGAAUAUAGCAGAUUGCAUGGAGUGAACUGACAAGAGAGUUACUAACUGGAGAAGGGAAAGUAGAAGACUGUACAGUAAGCACACAGCAGUACAAAUGACAAUGUCUGGCAGACUGAGCUACUUCCGUGAUGUUCCGUCUCCCAAUGUUCAUAAUGUAAGCUGUGGAGGAAGAUAAAGAAUCAGAUGAGGAAGACUACAUCUGGAAAGCUAUCUGAUCUUGGAGGUGGUAAUAAGUUUCCACAGAAAAAACUAAAAUUAGCUGCUGAUGUAAAUGAUGAUGAUGAUGAUAACAAUGACGAAGAGUAAGCACUAUACUCUAAGGAACUUGACAUGCUUAUAUGCAUGGGACUCUGAGGGACUGAGGAAGAUCCAGAGAGGAGCAACCAGCAGACAGGGACAACAUAAGUGAGCUGAAGCAGCACCUGGAGCCCUUACUGAACUUCAGGCCCCAGCAGCCAUUGUUUUACUUUUAUUUUUCACAUCUCAUGCUGAUAUUUUUCUUGGCCAACCUUAACCUAUGAGGUAAGGAAAGAGAAUUGCAGAUAUUGUUCCCAUUUAGCUUGUCUAGCAAAGUACAAAAUUUAUUUUGUUCAUCCUACUUCUCUCAACCAUAUUUAUAUUAAUCUUCCACAUAAAGGCAACAGCAAAAUUAUCCUUCUAGGUAACAUGUGGAAACUAUCCCUCAUACAAUAAAAGCACACUAAUCUUCUUUCAAAAGAAGGAUACUGAGUUCCAUCUUUUGGGUUACUUUUCACUUUGAUACCCUAUAAAUCUUUCAGUUGUAGUUUCUCCUUAAGUUUUAUAAUGGGACAUGAGAGAACUAAGAUGCAUCCCAAGAAAAUGACUGCCUUCCAGAUAUAUUCCUCCUCAGUCCCAUUGAGCACUAACAACCAAAUUUCUCUUCAAUGGUCAAGAUCAAUCACCCUAGCCAGCGUAAAAAUUCCCAUUGUCCCCAAGGAGUCCACAUUGGCCAGACAACAGUGUCAGUUUCCAGUUAAAUGGAGGCAUCGGUAUGUACCCCUGUGGGAAUGUUGCUUCCCUGGAAGCUAAGUCCUCUAGAUCAGCACAGCCCAAAGUUAAGACAGUAGGAAGCAAAGAAAACGUAUUAGGGAAAGGUAGGAGUGGAAAUGGGAGUGGCUCUUCCCACAAUCACUAUUCCUAUUUUCAUUCCUUGAUUUUUCAUGAAUCCUAUUUAUACAUUGGUAAUCAAUUUGCAGCAUAUGCUGCAUCAUGAAGGGCAUUACCCCAGUCCAGCAUGAUAUUACCAUCUAGCAGGGCAUGUAGCUGACUCUUCACAAGGCCAUUCCACCAUGCAAUGCAUCCAGAUGCUUCAGGGUGAUAGUGAACAUGGAACCGUGGACAUGAACCUAUUGCUGCACUUCAUCUGUUGCAAAGUAGGUUCUUUGGUGAGAAGCAAUGUAUCCCAGAACCCUGUGAUACUGAAAAUGUCCACUAAGUCCCUGGAGGGUGGUUUUGGCAGGAACAUUGUGGGGCAGGGAAGACAAAUCUAUAAACAAAGGAAGUGCCUGUUCCAAUCAAAACAAAAUGUAUCCCUUCCAAUAUGGAAGUGACUCAAUGAAAAAAAUCUAACACUAUAUGACUGGUUGACUCCCCUGAGGAAUGGGGGCACACUGGAAGCUCAUUGUUGAUCUUUGCUGUAGGCAGGUUAGGAUGUGGAAGUCUGCAUUGCUAAGCCCUUGCACAUCUCCCACUUCUGCCACUUUGAUCAUCUUUUCCUAAGAGUUUUUGAGAUAAGGAUGGGGCCACAGGAGAAAGAAGCUGACUGAAUUAGACAGAACAGGUCAUCUUGUCCAUAUGACAAUUAAGAUUUUUCUCUGCUGAGGUUUCUCAUUGCUGAACAGUCACAUGAAAUACCUUCAUACCUGUGCCCGUUCAGAGAUCUGUCCAUAUAGACCUAUUCCUCAGACUUCUUUGGCAGCAAUUUUAUAGUCACACUUCUUCCAAGUUUCUGACUAUUGGCCAGUUACCACCUUCAAAUCACUGUAGAUCUGUUUCCCUAGUUAUCUUCUUCUAGACAGAAUGCAUAACCAUGUAUACUGCUCAUAGUUUUGCCUACUGAGAGGAUGUCCUUUCUCAUUAUCCUUCAGGGCCGUAGAUGGAUUUAUUAUUUAUCUAUAGUUAACUAACCACUCUGAGAUUUAGCAGUUUAAAGUAACAGUACCGAAUUUUAUUCACAAAUAUGACUUUGGGGCAAGGCUCAGCAAGGAUGGCACAUUUUUAUGCCAUGUGGGGUUAGCUGGGAAACUUGACUGGGGUCUAAUCGAGGGACUUUCAAUUUGACUUAUUCAGGUGUCUGCCACAUUAGUGCUGGCAUUUGGCUGAGACUUAUCCAAGACUGUGGACCAGUUUCCUCACCAGGUAGGCCUUGCCACAGGCAGCUUGAGUAUUCUCAUUUCAUCUGGGUGAGGUUCCUAAAGUGAGAACUUUGGAGUCCUAAAGUGACUCCCAAGAACUUUGGGAGUCACACAAUAUCAUUUCUACCCCCAUUUUUUUGGUCAAGGCAUAGAUUCAAGGGUAGAGUAUAUAAACUUCACUUCUGAAUGACAGAGUGUUUAGGUCCCAGAAGAGCACAUGGGACAAGAAAUAUCACCAUUGCUUUUUUUGAAAUAUAAUAUUCCAUAAUGGAGAUUGGGAGAAAGAAACAAUGAAGUAGAAAUAGAGGCCAUAUACAUAUGGGCUCUUGCUCAUGAAAUUUGCUUGUGUCUUCUAGACAUACUGGAUCCUGGUCUCAUAUAUGCCUUUUCCAUCUGAAAAGAAAGUGCUGUCAUGCAUACCUAAAUGUAUGACUGGAUGAGUCAGGCAGCACUCAGUUCGUGGUGGGCAUCUCAGGUUAUAUCCUAAGUCAGUGGCCUACAGUCAAGUGUUCAAUCCCCACUACACUCAGCAGCAAGCCCUAAGGUGUUUCUCAAAAGGAGAAUAGUUAUCAGAAGAGGAUGACAACACUUUUCUCCAAAAUCCCAAAUUUGGGGACAGUGCGUCUCAUGUAAGUUCAGAGUAGGCAUCAUUUAUUUGGUUCAGCUGCUUCACAAUACCAUAAAGAACAAAGCUCUUUUUGUUUUUAGACUCUCAUUUUUAUUUUUAUUUUUAUUUAAAAAAAUUUUUUUUAACAGAACCAGGGAUCAAACUCAGGACCUUGUGCUUGUGAGGCAGGCGCUCCACAACUGAGCUAAAUCCCUAGCCCUACACUUUUAUUUUUAGCAAAUCAAUUUCCAUCUUUAUGUAUUUAUUUCAUAGACCUAGAAUGACUAGUUCAGCUGCAGAAUUUUUUUUUCUGAGCAGGAUAAAAGAGGUACAGCAAAGGGCUUUUUACCUUCUCCUUCCAUCAGACGUAUUUAUUGAUCUUACCCAGAAUGCACUGCACAGUCACCCUAACUAAGAGGUAGGCUGAGAUUUGGAGUAUUUCACUUUCCAGCCUGUAGAGAAAAAAAAUCGAAGUGAGCACUGUGUAUUGAGUGAAUAAACUGAGAGUAUCUGAUAUGGAUGGUUUGAAUAUUUUUGGCAUUCAAAUAAAGAUAUACAGAACAAAUAUACAAAGAAUUAUCUGUAGUACAGUGGCCCAUGAAAAGUGGCUUUUACAAUAAUAAUAAUAUAGUAAGUAGGUGUUUUUGAUCCACCAGGAAAUUUUAGAGAAAACUACAGUGAACAUCUUAUAUUAAAAAGCAACAGGGCUGGGGAUUUAGCUUAGUGGCGUAGUGCCUGCCUGGCAAGCACAAGGUCCUGAGUUCAAUCCCCGUUACCAAAAAGAAAAGCAAUGGUUUUGCCAGGCAUGGUGGCACAUGUCUGUAAUCCCAGUGCUUGGAGGCUGACACAGGAGGAUCACCACAAGUUCAAGGGCACACUGACUACAUAGUGAGACUGUAGACUGGGCUACACAGUGAGUUCAAGGCCAGCCUGGACUACAGAGCAAAACUCUGUCACAAAAAAGCUAAACUAAAGUAGUAAGUAAAUACAAAGCAAUGGUCUUGCUUCACAAAGAAAACUAACCCCUCCUUCAUCAUUUUUGAGAUAUCAUUUUGCUAUACUGCCCAGGCUGGCCUUAAACUCAGGAUCCUCCUGCCUCGGUUUACCAAGUAUUGCUCGGUAUUGUGGUAUGCACUUGCAGUCCCAGCUAUUUGGGAGACUGAGGCAAGAGGAUCCCUUGAAUCCAGUUCAAGGCCAGCCCGGACAACAUAGUGAGACCCUGUAUCAAGGAAAGAAAAAAAAUAGGAAAGAAAAGCAAUGGUCUUGAAUUUCUGUUUUUUUGGUACUGAGGAUCAAACUUGGGUCCUUGUGCUUGUGCAGCAGGUAGUGAAACCUCUGAGCUAAAUCCCUGGCCCUUGAAUUUCUGUUUUUGACAAAGAUAGGUUAACAGGGACUGGAUUUACUUGUGGGUUUUUUUGGGUUUUUUGGUACCAGAGAUCGAACUCAGAAUCUUGCUCUUGUGAGGCAGGUGCAGUGCCACUGAGCUAAA